GACGAACCGUGCGAACGUUGUUCGGAUUCACUGGGCUUAAAGGGCGCGUAGGCGGGCGAGCGAGUCCGGGGUGAAAUCUUUCGGCUUAACCGGAAAAGGGCCUCGGAUACCGGUCGUCUGGAGGGAGGUAGGGGCAGCUGGAACUUCCGGUGGAGCGGUGAAAUGCGUUGAUAUCGGAAGGAACGCCGGUGGCGAAAGCGAGCUGCUGGACCUCAUCUGACGCUGAGGCGCGAAAGCCAGGGGAGCGAACGGG
rnacentral:rRNA from 1 species